rnacentral:lncRNA from 1 species
GGCCUCAACUGUGACAGGGGGUAACGAUGACAGCACCUAACUCCUAAGUCUAUUGGUGAUGAGCCGGGGAGCAUCAGAGGGAAGAAAAUGGUAAGUGCCAUAGGAGUGUCAGCUCCUGUCACUGUCACCUUUUCCUAUCUUCUUUACUUUCUCUGAAUAAAUAUUUAUUGAACACCCACUAGAUCAAGUCGGGAUCUGGUUCUUGUUUCCAAAGCAAGGACAGAGGAAAAACGAUAGCAGGGAAAAAACCACCAGUCUGAGACUUGGAAAAAACCUGGACUCUGGUCCUAGCUUGGUCACUAAUGUCUAGGUGGCUUUUUCACUUGUAAACUAUGAGAUCCUUUUGGGGAUUUGGAACAGGGGCAGAGGUCAGUGCCAGGCAUCAGGUUCCGGGCAGCCUUGUGAUGACACAGCAGCUGCCUAACAACCACAUUGAGGGACAGAAUUUGCGCUCAGCCCUGGGGAUGGGUUGGGAUCAAGAGGUGGAGGAGACAGAGGCUACUGCAAGUGGAAGGAGAAUGUGCGGGUCCGAGGAGUGGUUAGGAACUGGGUACAGCUUCAGCAAGGGGACCCAGGAGCCCAGCACAGCACGGAGCAUGAGCUGUACAGGAAGAGGCCAGGUUUGUGUGGAAGUCAGUUGCCAAUGGAACAAACAGCAGGUGGCAGCAAGGGCGAUGCAGCCACCAUUUUUGACCCCAAGACACUGGAAGAAAACAACAGAGAGCCAGUGGCCACAGGGGAGAAGCAGGCUGCUGCUAUGGAAUACAGUCGCCUCCCCCUUGCUCUUCAAUCAGGCGACCUGGGGACCUGGGCAUCGAAGCUGCCCGCACUGGUCACCAUGUCUACCAAGACCUAGACAAGGACAGCGUGGAGUCAAUGCCCUCCCUAGUCCCAGAACCUUGACCUCAACAUACAACCCUGGAGGAAGAGAAAUCAUGCCCAAGCCACCAAUGAUGCAAUCACAGGCACCACUGCCUCUCACAAGACAGUACUCAGUGACUCCUCCACUGUCAACGUGAGGACCCUGGGCUCACAUCCCCGACAUCAUCUGCUGAGCUGCUGACAGCUGGACUCAGAGCUAAGGACUUCGUCUUGGGUUGGAAAACCUGUUCCCUCCCAGCUGCUCUCGGCUGUUUUCACCCCAAUCAGCCUUCACAAAUGGAUCUAAACAGCACUGCAGAACACAGGAGUGUGAAAUUGGAAAUAAAAUAGGCCUUUCCCCAUCUAUUUAAAUCCCAUUUAUUUUUAAUAACUACUGAGGGUAGGCCUUGCCUGAAAGGUGAGAAGUUGGUUUAAAUCUUGAUUUAUCUCUUGGUUGACUAAUAAAAUAUUGUCCUUCUACACAAGUGAAGGAAAGGACCACCAGAAAUGUCACACUUCUUAAAACUGUGAGUAUCCCUCCUAGGUUUUUAAUUUUCUGGCAGGGUCUACUGUUCCAACAAGUGGCUCCACAGGUGGCCACAGAUGAUGGCAACUCAGGGGCUAAGGCUGUCAAUCACACGAGAAUUCUCAUCUUAAGUGGAAAUCACUUGUCUUCUUCAGUAAGGGUCUGACAAUACAUGCUAUUUAUCUACUGAUGGCAUCUGCCUCAUAAUACAAUUACAAAAAAAUAUCCUCAUACAAACUGGUUAGCAAUGUCCAGAAGGGGCAAAAACAAUUGUAUCGCUAAACCUGCCCUAAUGUGCAAGUAAAUGAGAGUAGCAGGCUGCCGAUUAGGAAGCUCAUAUAGGCAUCAUUUAAAUGAAGCCCACAGGGCAUUGCUGUGCCCAGCACUUCCUGUGGCUGCUCCUUCCACUGACCUUUGGGCUUUCUCUUUAUAUCAGAGGCCAGAACACUUCGCAGUCAUCUGCUUCUUCUUCUGCCUCAUCCCAUAAUAAGCUGGAGUGACCCCUGACUUUCUUCAACCUGCUCUGAGUUUAGUCAGCACAUUUUGAUUUUUCUAGAUCCCGAAAAUCCUCCGAAGUCAGGGUUCAUUGGGGAAGGGUAGAGAACAUGGAGAUGGA